rnacentral:rRNA from 1 species
GACGAACGCUGGCGGCGUGCCUAAUACAUGCAAGUAGAACGCACAGUUUAUACCGUAGCUUGCUACACCAUAGACUGUGAGUUGCGAACGGGUGAGUAACGCGUAGGUAACCUGCCUGGAAGCGGGUGAUAACUAUUGGAAACGAUAGCUAAUAUCGCAUAAUAUUCAUUAUUGCAUGAUAAUUAAUUGAAAGGUGCAAUUGCACCACUACCAGAUGGACCUGCGUUGUAUUAGCUAGUAGGUAAGGUAACGGCUCACCUAGGCAACGAUACAUAGCCGACCUGAGAGGGUGAUCGGCGACACUGGAAAUGAGAAACGGUCCAGACUCCGACGGGAGGAAGCAGUAGGGAAUCGUCCGCAAUGGGCGAAAGCCGGACGGAGCAAGGCCGCGGGAGUGAUGAAGGGCUUCGGAUCGUAAAACUCGGUUAUUAGGGAAGAACAAAUGUGUAAGUAACUAUGCACGUCUUGACGGUACCGAAUCAGAAAGCCACGGCUAACUACGUG